UCUCUGGUGGUCCAUCAGGUAAGACUCUGUACUUCCAAUGCAGAGGGCAUGGGUUCAAUCCUUGGUCAGGGAA
rnacentral:tRNA from 1 species